AGCUGAGGAGCANNCCGCGUGGGGGAUGAAGGCUCUUGGGUUGUAAACCCCUUUUCUCAGGGAAGAAGUUCUGACGGUNCCUGANGAAUAANCAUCGGCUAACUCCGUGCCAGCAGCCGCGGUAA
rnacentral:rRNA from 1 species